rnacentral:rRNA from 1 species
AACGAACGCUGGCGGCGUGCCUAACACAUGCAAGUCGAGCGAGAAAGGGGAGCAAUCCCUGAGUGAAGCGGCAAACGGGUGAGUAACACGUGGGCAACCUGCCCUCGAGUGGGGAAUAACAUCUCGAAAGAGGUGCUAAUACCGCGUAGCAUCCGGACUUCCUUGGAGGUCCGGAUCAAAGGUAGGGAUCUUCGGACCUGCCGCUCGAGGACGGGGCCCGCGCCUGAUUAGCAGGUUGGGUGGGGUAACGGCCUACCAAGGCGACGAUCAGUAGCCGGCUGAGAGGGUGACCGGCCACACUGGAACUG